GAGCGAACAGAUAAGGAGCUUGCUCCUUUGACGUUAGCGGCGGACGGGUGAGUAACACGUGGAUAACCUACCUAUAAGACUGGGAUAACUUCGGGAAACCGGAGCUAAUACCGGAUAAGAUUUUGAACCGCAUGGUUCAAUAGUGAAAGACGGCCUUGCUGUCACUUAUAGAUGGAUCCGCGCCGUAUUAGCUAGUUGGUAAGGUAACGGCUUACCAAGGCAACGAUACGUAGCCGACCUGAGAGGGUGAUCGGCCACACUGGAACUGAGACACGGUCCAGACUCCUACGGGAGGCAGCAGUAGGGAAUCUUCCGCAAUGGGCGAAAGCCUGACGGAGCAACGCCGCGUAGUGAUGAAGGUCUUCGGAUCGUAAAACUCUGUUAUCAGGGAAGAACAAACGUGUAAGUAACUGUGCACGUCUUGACGGUACCUGAUCAGAAAGCCACGGCUAACUACGUGC
rnacentral:rRNA from 1 species